GCGCGAUGAGGAAGAAUAUCACAUACACACACUCCGAAUUCUGUGAGGAGAUAAUUAAGAACGGAUAUCUGAGCGC
rnacentral:snoRNA from 1 species